UGGCUCAGAUUGAACGCUGGCGGCAUGCCUUACACAUGCAAGUCGAACGGCAGCACGGAGCUUGCUCUGGUGGCGAGUGGCGAACGGGUGAGUAAUAUAUCGGAACGUACCCUGGAGUGGGGGAUAACGUAGCGAAAGUUACGCUAAUACCGCAUACGAUCUACGGAUGAAAGUGGGGGAUCGCAAGACCUCAUGCUCGUGGAGCGGCCGAUAUCUGAUUAGCUAGUUGGUAGGGUAAAAGCCUACCAAGGCAUCGAUCAGUAGCUGGUCUGAGAGGACGACCAGCCACACUGGAACUGAGACACGGUCCAGACUCCUACGGGAGGCAGCAGUGGGGAAUUUUGGACAAUGGGCGAAAGCCUGAUCCAGCAAUGCCGCGUGAGUGAAGAAGGCCUUCGGGUUGUAAAGCUCUUUUGUCAGGGAAGAAACGGUGAGGGCUAAUAUCCCUUGCUAAUGACGGUACCUGAAGAAUAAGCACCGGCUAACUACGUG
rnacentral:rRNA from 1 species